CCAGACUCCUACGGGAGGCAGCAGUCGGGAAUAUUGCGCAAUGGAGGAAACUCUGACGCAGUGACGCCGCGUAUAGGAAGAAGGUUUUCGGAUUGUAAACUAUUGUCGUUAGGGAAGAGAAAGGACAGUACCUAAGGAGGAAGCCCCGGCUAACUACGUGCCAGCAGCCGCGGUAAUACGUAGGGGGCAAGCGUUAUCCGGAUUUACUGGGUGUAAAGGGAGCGUAGACGGCGAUGCAAGUCUGAAGUGAAAGGCGGGGGCCCAACCCCCGGACUGCUUUGGAAACUGUAUAGCUGGAGUGCAGGAGAGGUAAGUGGAAUUCCUAGUGUAGCGGUGAAAUGCGUAGAUAUUAGGAGGAACACCAGUGGCGAAGGCGGCUUACUGGACUGUAACUGACGUUGAGGCUCGAAAGCGUGGGGAGCAAACAGGAUUAGAUACCCCUGUAC
rnacentral:rRNA from 1 species